UUUAGGACAAGGGAAAGCACUUGUUAAGGCUCACUAAUUACACAGCUAUCUGCAUAAANAUUUCUGUAUACAUUGUGUCAAAUGCACGAAUGGAAUGGAGGCGGUUUUGGAAAUGAGAUAUAUCUACGCUUCACUAGGCAUUCCUCUCUGCUAUGAUGUGUUAAAUUUCUCUCUUUAAAAUUUCAGAUGAAGACGCCCAUUCUUAUGAAAAUGUUGAGCCAUCCAAAAACAGUGNAUCUGCCGUGGUGGAUAUGACUGUCUAUGAGAACAGUGCAGCAAUCCAGUUAUGGAAACAUGAGUGUCCUCCAGAAAAUCCCGAUGAUGAUGGUGGUGAUGAUGAUGAUCCGGAUUACGUCAAUGCAGACCCAAACAGCAGGAGCUGGUGAACAAGAUCAACAGUUCCAUUCAUUUUCCAUUCUAGUGAAAGUUUGGCAUCAGCAGGAACCACCAGAUGNCCUGCAAAGGAUUUGGGUAUUUUAACAUUGACCAAGGUCUAAGCACAGCAGUGCACAUCUUAUCCAGAACUGCAACAGCCUCCAAAGAAAGUAAAAUCUGAAGACAGAAGCAUAAAAUACUCCUGGAAAAAUGUAUUGCUCAAGUGCAAACAAACAACAGUCUUCAAACAUCAUUUCUUCAGUCCCAGAUUUUNUGGUGGCUAAUCAGCCGGUUCAUGCCAUGCCUUUGUUUUUUAUCUACAGUAUAUUUAAACCAGUUUACGGUUUGGAGACAUUCCUAAAUCUGGUGUGUGAUUCCUAAGAAGAGAUGUAAGGAAGUUUCAAAAUGGGCCUUUGAGAAAGGCAGCAGUAAAGAAGGAAAAAAUAAAAGCUUGAACAGUGCAGACA
rnacentral:lncRNA from 1 species